rnacentral:lncRNA from 12 species
GUAACACAAAUUAGUGACAAAUUAGUACUCAACACAAUGAUGGUAUAAGAAUUUAGUCAGAGAAAAGUGGGUACAAGGUACUUCACACAGAGGAUUCAUUCUUCCAUUGAGGUAUCUCUGAGCACUUUGUCCAGACCUUAAAAUUUCUGAUACAAAAUUAUUUUUAUUUCAGCACUAAAAUCUUGGUUUGCCACAUUUCAAAACCAGUUUUAGAUUAGGACUGAGGUUCAAGGACUUACAAAUGCAGUGCAUUUAUAAUAUGCAGUGAAUCAGUCUAGCAGUUGGCUUCAGAGAGGAGAUGAUCAGAGAUGCAUGUACAAAGUAUAAAUAAACUGUGUGCAAUAUUAAAAGAUACACUUCAGUAGAAGUUUUGAUUAGUAAGAAUGUAGUCUUAAUGCUGUGUAUGGUUCAUUCAGGCUCCAAAAUAUGGAAGGAGACCAAAUUAGUUAUUCUGAGUCAACUACAUGUGAUGGCAGAUGACAGAGUCUAUAAUUUGGAAUUGGUAUACAAAAGAGCUCCCCAAGACUGAGAGCAGUGUUAUCUGACAUGAAGAAAAUACUUCUGUUUGGGGUGGAUUCUUCCCUCUUGUUUUCUCUGAGUCCUUUUUGCCUUUUGUACCCAGAUUUCAGGGGACUGCCUUUGCUGCUGAACACAGAUCACUCACAUAUUACAGUAAAUUGCCAUUAUUUUCAAUUGGAUGAUUUUUACAUCCAAUAAAGGGAAGAAAAUGUAGGCAGGUGUGAGCAAAAUGUAGCUUUGUUUAAAAUAAAAGAAUUAUAUUACCAAGGACCCUCGUCUGUAUACAUAGAAAUUUCUUUUUCAAUGUCAGUUGUUUUUAACAUCAUAUUAGUGCAUGUUUUCUUUUUCCUUACUGUUAUAUCAGAGGUACAGUUCUGUUGGGCCUUGCUCAUGGACUGAUGCUUUCAUUUUGGAGCUGGUCUUCUGUCAUCAAUUUUGCCUUGUUUCUCAUAGGUUUGGCAUCAUCAGCUGGUCUCCUUUAUUUACAUACCUGGAGUGCUGCUGUUGCAGGCAGCAUUCUUGGUAUCUUUACUAUGUGUGUGUGGCCUCAACUAGCUGGACACUUUGUCAGCUGUCUGCAUCCUGGGAAAGCCAUGAGUACAGCCAUGUUUGCCUAUGUUCUUGAAUUAUUCUUCUGUGUAUGGUGUACAGCUUAUAAAUUUGUACCUGGAGGAGUUUACAUUAGAGAAAGCUCCCAUCUUCUUCUAGAAAUAGUCUAAGAUACGGAAAGAAAAUGGAAUUCAGUAAAGGGAAAAUGGAAAAGUGGAAAAAUGUCUGAUAACUAAAGUACGCGGUGGAGGAAGAGAUCUGUUAAUCAGUCACCCUAAAAAUAUGGCUGCAAUCCAGGGUGUGAAUGCACGAAUAUGCUGGCUACCUAAGGUAGCAGUGCCUCAGGUAACAGGGUAGCUACUGAGACUGUAAUAUAAUUCAGUGCAUUAUUCAGCCCUACUCUGCAGAGCAAGGUGCAGCAUCCUGCUGAUCUAGCUAGUCUACAUUGGAGACCUGAGCUUCUUUUCCAUGUGGCUCUACCUUAUGUUUUGUGGGCACACCAGAAUGUUUGGGGGAAUUCAGAUGAGCCUGUAGCAUCAGAAACACAUGAACAGAACAGGCAGAAAAGAAAUUGUCAGGUAUUUGCAAAUAAGGAAGGAAUUGAGAAGUUGAGCAAAUAUAAAGGCUUUAACAAAAUUAUCACGUGAUGAGGGCGGAGAGGUGGAAAGGAAACCAAUCCUUCCUCGUUUUGUCUCCAGAACUAUUUUCCCAAUAGGUACCAACAUGUUUCAAUGGCAUAUUUCACUAAUCGUAUUUAAGCAAUGCCAAACAUUGUCUUGGCUAAUUGUGUGGGGCUUUUUUUAAAAUGUG